rnacentral:tRNA from 1 species
GCCUGGGUGGCUCAGUUGGUUAAGUGCCUGACUUCGGCUCAGGUCAUGAUCUCACAGUUCGCGGGUUUGAGCCCAGGCA